AGAACUCAGAAGAGCAGCUCAGCUUUCACCAUAACCAUGAUGACUUCAUCUCUACUGCUGCUGCUGGCAGUCGUUACCUGUGUUCAUGGUAUUGAGCUCAUCCAGCCAAGUCAUAUGGAUGUGAAACCAGGGGAGUCAUUCUCCCUCUCCUGUAAGAUUUCAGGGUUUUCAACUAGUCACUACUACAACUGGAUACGCCACUCUGCUGGGAAAACAAUGGAAUGGAUUGGGUGGAUAGGUGGUGAUAGUGGACAAAGUGGGACCACAGACUCAUUAAAGAGCAAGAUCAGUUUCACCAGAGACACCUCCACUAACACAGUAGUCUUACAAGGCCAGAACUUCCAGACUGAGGACACAGCUGUGUAUUACUGUACUCGAAACCCCACACCAUGACAAACAUGCUACUUC